rnacentral:rRNA from 1 species
AGGACGAACGCUGGCGGCGUGCUUAACACAUGCAAGUCGAACGAGAAAGUGGAGCAAUCCAUGAGUAAAGUGGCGCACGGGUGAGUAACACGUGACUAACCUACCCUCGAGUGGGGAAUAACUUCGGGAAACCGAGGCUAAUACCGCAUAAAACCUAAGGGUCAAAGGAGCAAUCCGUUUGAGGAGGGGGUCGCGGCAGAUUAGUUAGUUGGCGGGGUAAUGGCCCACCAAGACGAUGAUCUGUAUCCGGCCUGAGAGGGCGCACGGACACACUGGAACUGAAACACGGUCCAGACUCCUACGGGAGGCAGCAGUGGGGAAUUUUGCGCAAUGGGGGAAACCCUGACGCAGCAACGCCGCGUGGAGGAUGAAAUCCCUGGAUGUAAACUCCUUUCGAUCGGAAGAUAAUGACGGUACCGGAAGAAGAAGCCCGGCUAACUUCGCGCCAGCAGCCGC